GUUUGUUUUGGUUUCUUGUUUCUCUCUGUAUUGUGGGUUUCAAUCCUUUGAUUUGAGAAUUUGAGUUCCGCCUAUAUAUUUGGAUUUGAGAAUUAGAGAAUUGUUUGUUGAUAUCUUCUUGCAGCCUUUGUAAAAUAUGUGAGAUGUGAGACUUACUUUCUUAGUUUUCGUGGAGUAGUAUUAGAUCGAUUCAAUUCAAGAUUUUGAAAGAACAAAUUUGGAUUGAAAAAGUUUUGAUCAAUUCCAUGGAAUAUUAGAGAUAGUUUGUUGAUAUAUCUUUGUGGGUGUUCGCAGCGUUUGAUCAAUAUCUGAAUGAUUUUAUUACAGAGAUAGCUUGAUGAUUAAUAUCUGCUAGAUUGAUCGGUUUGGUUUUGUUUCUUGGCCUACCCUUUUCUUGAUUUCCAAUUCUCUGUAUAAUAAAUAUAGCUUUGUGGGUUUCAAUCCGUUUUGCUGUUAGAUUUGGUGCUCUUUCGCUUGAGAAUUACAGAUUGUUUUUUGAUAUCUCGUGGGUAUUUCUUUUCCAAUUUGUUGAUUAGUGAUGUUGUUUGUAUGUUGCCAAUGUUUGAUUAGGUCUGGGUAGGAGUGCCUUACAGUUGAUUUCAUGAUUGUUCUUCUAUUUCUUGAAGGUGGAUGAUUUCUUCUCAUGGAAUUGCAAACUAGUACCUUCACCCACUGCCCCUCAAAAUAGCCUUGGAGGAAUUCUCUUUUUUCCUCUUCUUGCUACAGUUACCUUGGUCUCAAUGUUCAUAUCCUUGCUUUCCUUCCUUGUGUGUGGUUUAUUUAUUUAUUUAUUUAUUUUGUUCUUAUCCUUGACCCUUUUCUUGUGUAUUACAGCGUAUCUGAGUUCCUAAUUGCACUUCUUUGAUUGAUUUUCAAUGUUAAGAAAUUCAAGGCUGGUGAGGUCCAUUCUUGAUGCAAUUUUUGAGGGAAUCAAGCUUGGCCUCAGGUUUUUGGAGAUUCUGAGGUUUUUGUUGUGAGAUUCCUCUACGCUAUGAGUUCUGUGUUUAUGUUUCCCCUUGAUGAUUGGAGAUGAUGAUGCUACGUUUGCUAUCAGGUUCCAGUUAUGGAUAUAGGGUUUAUUCUGUAUUUCUGAUUUAUGUGACCUUGUUUUGGUGUUUGAGGUCGGGAAGUUGCAGCAGUUCCCAGGUCUUGGGCAAUAGGUAUCGGAUGUUUCGGUCUCUCAAAGCCUUGUCAAAACUGUUGCUAUGUGGAAGUUCUCAACUAAGAUAAGUGCGGUCUGCCAUUUCUAGUUUUUAGUUCAGAUGCUUGCUUUUUUGAUGAUCUGACUGAUGAGGUCUCUUAUGGUUAUGGACACCUGUUAACUACUUAAAGUGCUCAGUCAGUCCUGGAUCUUUGAUAGCGCCGUGAUGUGCUCCUCUCCCAUACUUCUGAGUUUCUAGCCUACUUAUUUUCUCUCUGCUUCUGUUUUCUUUUGGUUAUCACACCAGCUUGAUUUUGUUUGUUGGAUGAAUGUGUAGACCACAUAGUGACAGAAGGAUUAGAUUUGGAUAAUUCAAAUGUUGGUACCCAGUAUGCGUUCAUGUACACCCUAUUUCUUGGUCAUUUUCGUGCUUGCACUGCAAUCUGGAUAUGGCUUCGACCAAAAGGGGGUUUCGAAUCUAGUCUCUGGCAUCUUUUCGAGUGAUUUCUUAGGUGGUAUGGGUUUCAUCAGCUUUGCACCUAACUGUUCCUUUUCUUUCUGUGCUGGCAGCAGCCAUUGGGUCCUACAGAGCCGUGAAGUAUUCUUUUCAUGGAGCAGCUUUGUUUAUCUAUUUAUGUUGAGGUUUCUUUAGUUCAGGCUUUUAUGAUAACGGAAAUUUUCAUUUGUCAACUAAGAUGGUUAUUCUCACCAGUGUUUCUUGUAUUCUGCUGCCAUUUUUAGUAUUUAGUCCAGAUGUUUACGUUCUUCGACCAUCCAUGAUCCAACUGAUAAGGCCUGGUGGUUGAUGGUUAUGGACACCUGAUUAAGUGCUCAAAGUCAGUUCUGGAUAUUUCUGUAGCCCCGUAAAGUGCUCCUCUCUCUUGGUGUUCUAGCUGCUUAUUUUCUCUGCUUCUGUUUUCUUCUGUGUAUCACGCAACCUUGAUAUUGUUUGUUGGAUGGAUGUGCGGUCACAGUUAAGAGGAUUAGACUUGGAAAUUUCAAAGGUUGGUGUCCGGUUUGCAUUCCUGUGCACCCUGUUUUUUGCCAUUUUGGUGCUUGUACUCCAAUGUGGAUAUUAUGUAGGCUUCGACAAAAAAGGGGGUUUUCAGUCUUGUCUCUUGCUUCUCUAGUGAUGUCUGAGGUGGUAUGGGUUUUGUCAGUGUUGCACUUAAUUGUUCCCUUCUUUCUGUGCUUGCAGCAGUUGGUCUGACAGAACAGUGAAUCACUCUUUUCAUGGAGCGGCCUUGCUCUAAUAAUAUUGAGACCGUUUGGUGUUCUGAUUUACAUGAUUCUCUUGAGAGUUAGAGGUGUUCGCAGCGUUUUAUCAAUAUAAGAUUAGGUGAUUGCCUUCUUUUGGGAAUUACUAAUUUGUCCUGUGGACUGUAUCUGUUUGGUUCUGAAUUCUUGGCCAUCAGUUAUAUUGACCUAACACUACCCUUUUCUUGCGUAUCUUGAUUUCUUUCGAUGAGCAGUUUAUUUGUUUCAUUGUGUAGGUCCGUUUUGAUGUUAGAUUUGGUGCUCUUUUCACUUGGGAAUUAGAGAUUGUUGAUAUCUCAUGGGUAUUCACAGUGUUUAAUCAAGAAGAUCUAAGAUAAUUAUUAGAUGAUUCAGAUUUAUAUGAAUUAGAGAAUUAGUGUUUGUUUGUAUUCUGCUGCCAUUUUCAGUUUUUUAGUACAGAUGCUUAUGUUCUUUGACCAUCCAACUGAUGAGGCCCUGGUGAUUGAUGGUUAUGGACACCUGAUUAAGUACUUGAAGUCAGUUCUGGAUAUUUCGAUAGCCCCAUAAGUGCGCCUCUUUUUGGUGUUCUCGCUGCUUAUUUUCUCUGCUGCCGUUUCUUCUGUUUAUCACACAAGCUUGAUUUUGUUUGUUGGAUGGAUGUGUGGUAACAGUUUAAGAGGAUUAGAUUUGGAAAUUUCAAAGGUUGGUGUCCAGUAUGCGUUUGUGUGCACCCUAAUUCUUGCCAUUUUGGUGCUUGCUCUACCAUCUGGAUAUUGUCUUUGCUGCGACAAAAAGGGUGUUUUGAAUCUUGUCUCUGGCAUUUUUCCUAGUGAUUUCUUAGGUAGUAUGGGUUACAUCAGCUUUGCACUUAACUCUUCCCUUCUUUCUGUGCUUGCAGCCAUUGAGUCUUACAGAGCCAUGAAUUGUUCUUUUCAUGGAGCGGCCUUGUUUGUCCAUUUGUGCUGAGGUUUCUUUAGUUCAGGCUUUUAUGAGUACAUAAAUUUUCAUUUCUCAUCUAAAAUAGUUUUUUUCGCUGAUGUUGUUGUAUUCUGCUGCCAUCUUAGUUUUUAGUCCAGAUGCUUAUGUUCUUUGACCAUCCUACUGAUGAGGCCCUGGCGGUUGAUGGAUGUUGACACCUGAUUAAGUUCUAAACUCAGUUCCGGAUAUUUCGUUAGCCCCGUAAAGUGCUCCUCUGUUCUGGUUUUCUCGCUACUUAUUUUCUCUGUUUCCGUUCUCUUCUGUGAAAUCAUGCAGCUUGAUUUUGUUUCUUGGAUGGAUGUCUGGUAACAGUUAAGAAAAUUAGAUGGGAAAUUUCAGAGGUUGGUAUCGAGUAUGCGUCUCUGAGCACCCCGUUUCUUGCCAUUUUGGUGCUUGCACUACAAUCCGGAUAUUGUCUUGCUGCGACAGAAAGGGGGUUUCGAAUCUUGUCUCUGGCAUUUUUCCUAGUGAUUUCUUAGGUAGUAUGGGUAACAUCAGCUUUGCAUUUAACCGUUCCUUCUUUCUGUGCUUGCAGCAGGCAAUACAGAGCCAUGAGUUAUGCUUUUCUUGGAGCGGCCUUGUUUGUCCAUUUGUGUCAAGGUUCCUUUAGUUCAGGCUUUUAUGAGUACAGAAAUUUUCAUUUCUCAACCAAAAUAGGUUUUUUUUUUUUUUCACCAGUGUUUGUUUAUUCUGGUGCCAUUUUUAGUUUUUUAGUACAGAUGCUUAUGUUCUUUGACCAUCCAACUGAUGAGGCCCUGGUGAUUGAUGGUUAUAGACACCUGAUUAAGUACUUGAAGUCAGUUCUGGAUAUUUCGAUAGCCCCAUAAGUGCGCCUCUUUUUAGUGUUCUCGCUGCUUAUUUUCUCUGCUGCCGUUGCCGUUUCUUCUGUUUAUCACACAAGCUUGAUUUUGUUUGUCGGAUGGAUGUGUGGUAACAGUUUAAGAGGAUUAGAUUUGGAAAUGGAAGUUUCAAAGGUUGGUGUCCAGUAUGCGUUUGUGUGCACCUGGUUUCUUGCCAUUUUGGUGCUUGCACUACAAUGUGGAUAUUGUCUUGCUGCGACAGAAAGGGGGUUUCGAAUCUUGUCUCUGGCAUUUUUCCGAGUGAUUUCUUAGGUUGUAUGGGUUACAUCAGCUUUGCAUUUAACCAUUCCUUUUUUUCUGUGCUUGCAGCAGCCAUUACAGAGCCAUGAAUUAUGCUUUUCAUGGAGCGGCCUUGUUUGUCCAUUUGUGUCAAGGUUCCUUUUGUUCAGGCUUUUAUGAGUACAGAAAUUUUCGUUUCUCAACCAAAAUAGUUUUUUUCCCCACUGGUGUUUGUUUGUUCUGGUGCCAUUUUUAGUAUUAAGUACAGAUGCUUAUGUUCUUUCACCAUCCAACUCAUGAGGCCCUGGUGGUUGAUGGUUAUGGACACCUGAUUAAGUACUUGAAGUCAGUUCUGGAUAUUUCGAUAGCCCCCGUAAAGUGCUCCGCUCUUUUGGUGUUCUCGCUGCUUAUUUUCUCUGCUGCUGUUUUUUCUGUUUAUCACGCAAGCUUGAUUUUGUUUGUUGGACGGAUGUGUGGUAACAGUUGAGAGGAUUAGAUUUGGAAAUUUCAAUGGUUGGUUUCCAGUAUGCUUGUGUGUGCACCCUAUUUCUUGCCUUUUUGGUGCUUGCGCUACAAUCUGGAUAUUGUCUUUGCUGCGACAAAAAGGGGGUUUCAAAUCUUGUCUCUGGCAUUUUUCCUAGUGAUUUCUUAGGUAGCAUGGGUUACAUCAGCUUUGCACUUAACUCUUCCCUUCUUUCUGUGCUUGCAACAGCCAUUGGGUCUUACAGAGCAUUCUUUUCAUGGAGCAGCCUUGUUUGUCCAUUUGUGUUGAGGUUCCUUUAGUUUAGGCUGAGUACAGAAAUUUUCAUUCUCAAAUAAAAUAGUUUUCUCUCUAGUGUUUGUUGUGUUCUGCUGCCAUUUUUAGUGUUUAGUUUCUUGCUAGUGUUUGUUGUGUUCUGCUGCCAAUUUUAGUGUUUAGUCCAGAUGCUUAUGUUCUUUGACGAUCCAACUAAUGAGGCCUUGGUGGUUGCUUAUGGACCUGAUUAAGUACUCUAAGUCAGUUCCGGAUAUUUCGAUAGACCCGUAAAGUGCCUCUCUUUUGGUGUUCCCGCUGCUUAUUUUCUCUGCUGCUGUAUUCUUCUGUUUAUCAGGCUAGCUUGAUUUUGUUUAUUGGAUGGAUUUGCCGGUAACAGUUGAGGUUUAGAUUUGGAAAUUUCAAUAUGCAUUCCUCUACACCCUGUUCCUUGCCAUUUUGGUUCUUGUACUCCAAUCUGGAUAUUGUCAGGAUUCGACAAAAAAGGGGGUUUUCAACCUGGCUCUUGCAUAUCUAGUGAUAUCUGAGGUGAUAUGGGUUUCAUCAGCUUUGCACUUAACUGUUCCCUUCUUUCUGUGCUUGCAGCCAUGAGCAGUGACACCUACUUUUCGUGGAGUGGUCAUGCUUUUCUAUUUGAGCUAAGGUUCUUUAGUUCAGUGUUUUAUGAGUAUCGAGAUUUUCAUUCAGUUCUCUUUCCUAAUGGUCCCUGUUGUCUUUGUUGAAAGUUGAAACUACAGUUGUAUUGAAGUUUCUCAAAGAUAUUUUUUACCAGUGUGUUAUAUUCUGCUGCGAUGAAGUUUUAACUCCAGAUGCUUAUGUUCUUCGAUGCUCCAACUGCUGAGGUGUCUCCUAUGGUUAUGUACACCUGAUAAGCAAGUCAAUUUGGAUCCUUUGAUAGCGGUGUUCCUCUACCUUUGGUCUUCUAGCUACUUAUCUAUGUUUUUUGUUGGUUAUCACGCCACUUGUCUGCUCUUUUUUGUUGGAUGGAUGUGUAGAUCAUAUGGUGACAGUAACAGAGGUUAAGAUUUGGAAAUUUCGAAGGUUGGUAUCUAGUAUGCGUUCCUCUGCACCCUCUUGGUCUUUUUGGUGCUUGCACUGCAAUCUUGAUUUGCCUGGGCUUCGACAAAAAUGGGGUUUCCAAUCUUGUCUAUGGCACCUCUAGUAUUUUCUUAAGUAGUUUGUGUUUCAUCAGCUUUGCACCUUACUGUUCCCUUCUUUCUGUGCUUGCAGCCAUUGGGUUUUACAGAGCAGUGAAUUACCCCUUUUUGGAACGGCCUUGUUUGUACAUUUGUGUUGAGGUUUCUUUAGUUCAGUCUUUUAUUAGCAUCGAGAUUUUCAAUUCUGUUUUCUUGGCUAAAAGCUCCCUUUUCUCUUUGUCAAACUACUGUUGUGUGGAGGUUUAACCGAGGUAAUAUUUUUCACCAGUGUGUCGUAUUCUGCUGCCAUGAGGUUCUUAGUCCAGAUGCUUAUGUUCUUCGAUGAUCCAACUGAUGUUGUCUCUUAUGGUUAUGGACAGCUGGUAGCGCUGUAAAGUGCUCCUCCACUUUUGGUCUUCUAGCCUAUUUAUGUUCUUUGCUUCUAGUUUCUUUUAGUGAUCCUUGCUGCUUAUUUUCUCUGCUUCCGUUUUCUUCUGUGUAUCACAUGAGCUUGAUUUUGUUUGUUGGGUGGAUGUGUGGUAACAGUCAAGAGGAUUAGAUUUGGAAAUUUCAAAGGUUGGUGUCCGGUGGGCAUUCCUGUGCACCCUGUUUAUUGCCAUUUUGGGGCUUGUACUUCAAUCUGGAUAUUGUCAGGCUUCGACAAAAAAAGGGGGUUUUCAAUCUUGUCUCUUGCAUCUCUUGCACCAAAAAAAGGAAGUCUUGCAAUCUUGUCUGGCAUAUCUAGUGAUCUCUCCUAUGUGGCAUGGGUGUUGCCGGCUUUGAACUUAACUGUUCCCUUCCUUUUGUGCUUGCAGUCGUUGUGUCUUUCAGAGCAGUGAAAACUUCCUUUCAUGGAACAUUGUUUGUCUACUGGCAUUGAGGUUUUACUUGGUUCAGGCUUUCUAGAGUAUCUAGAUUUUCAGUUCAGUUUCUUUCCUGAUCAUAGAGAUUCCCUUCUCUUUGUCAAAAUUGCAGUUAUGUUGGAGUUUUCAACUGCAAUAAUUCUUUCUACAAGUGUGUAUAAUGUAUUGUGUGCCAUUUCCUUUUUUUUAGUCCCGCUGCUUGUGUUUUUCAGAUAUUCCAAUUAGUGAGAUCUCUUAUGGGUAUAGACAUCUGAUAAGUACUCACUCAAUUCUGGUCCUCUAUAUUUGGUGUUUUUGCUUCUUAUCUUUCCUGCUUUCGUUUUCUGUUGCUUAUCACACCAGCUUGAGUUUCUCUGUUGGAAGGAUGCGUAUAUACCACUUUGAACAGUAAUGCGGAUUAUAUUUAAAUAUUGUGAGGCUUCAACAAAGGUUCUUUUUGUAAUAUCUUGUCUCUGAUUUGUCUAGUGAUUUCUUAGGUACUACGGGUUUCGCCAGAUUUGUACUUUACUGUUCCAUUCUUUCUAUGCGUGCAGCCAUCGAGUCUUACAGAGCUUUGCAUUCAGCUUUUCACCUUGCUUCCUUGUCUCUGCCCAUUUGUGUUGAGGUUUCUUUUGUUCAGGAUUUUAUGAGUAUGAGUUUUUCAAUCCAGCUUUCUUCCUAAUCAGAGUGGUUCUCUUCUCUCUUUGUCAAAGCCUGCUGUUAUGGGAGUUCUUAGCUAAAAUAGUUCUUCCACUGCGUGCUGCACUGCCAUUUUUAGUUUAGUCCAGAUGCUUAUGUUUUUCUGUGAUCCAACUGAUUAGGUCGAUGUUUGAUGGUGGUUAUGGACACCUGAUAAAUACUCAAAAUUCAAUUCUGGAUAUUUUGAUAGCCCCCGUAAGUCCUACCUAUUUUUGUGUUCUCGCUGCUUAUCUAUUCUGCUUCUGUUAUUUUUUGUGUGUUAUGGCAGCUUGAUUUGUUUGUUGGAUGGAUGCGGCGACAGUCAGAGGAUUCGAUUCAGAUAUUUGCAAGGUUGGUGUCCAGUUUGCAUUCCUGUGCUUCGCGACACGGGGUUUUCUAUCUUGUCUGGGCAUUUUCUAGUGAUUUCCUAUUUUGUUGUGUGGGCUUCGGCAGCUUUGCACUAUAACUGUCCCCUUCGUUAGGUGCUUGCAGCUGUUGGGUCUUACGAGCAGUGAAUCCUUCUUGUCAUGGAGUGGCCUUGUUUGUCAAUUUUGGUUGAGGUUUCUUUAAUUAAUGCUUUUAAAGAUUAUCUAGAUUCAGUUUUCUUCCCUAAUCAGCGUGGUUCCCUUCUCUCUCUGUCAACACUCAACACUGCUGUUGUCCUCGUCUAUUUUUUUUUCCACCAAUGUGUUGUAUCCUGCUGCCAUCUUUAUUUUUUAGUCCAGAUGCUUAUGUUCUUUGGUGGUCCAACUGAUGAUAUUCCUGAUGGUUAUGGACACAUGAUAAGUAAUCUAACUCAAUUAAUUUUGGUUCGAUUGAUUCUGCCUACAUUUGGUGGUCUCUCUUACUUAUUUUCUCUGCUUCCGCUUUCUUUGGUUUAACACACCACUUGAUUUUGUUUGGUUUGAUGGAUGUUUGUAGACCACAUGGUGAUAGUGAUGGAUGGUUUGAUUUGGAAAUUUCAAUGUUUGGUAUUUUGGUCUCACAGUGUCCGUUGAGAGAAAAGGGAGUUUUUCAAUCUUAUCUGGCACCUCUAGCGAUCUCUUGUGUGGUAUGGGUAUUGCGAACUUUGUACUUAACUGCUUCCUUCUUUCUGUGCUUGCAGCCAUCGGGUCUUACGGACCAGUGAAUUCUUUUCAUGGAGCGACCUUGUUUGUUGAGAUUUGUUUGGAGGUUUCUUUAGUUCAGCCGUUUCAUUUCAGUUUUCUUCCCUAAUGGCGCCCUUUUCUCUUUGUCCAACUCCUGUUGUAUGGAGGUUUCUCAACUAAAGAUAAUAUUGUUCACUAGUGUGUGUUGUAUUCUGCUGCCAUGAUGUUUUUAGUCCAGAUGCUUACGUGUUCUUUGAUGAUCGAACUGAUGAGGUCUCUUGUGGUUAUGGACACCUGAUAAGUACUCGCGAUCAUCUUCUGAUAGCGCUGUAAAAUGCUCCUCCACUUUUUGUCUUCUAGCUACUUAUCUUCUCUGCUCUUUUGGUUAUCACGCCACUUGGUUUUUGUUAUAUGGAUGUGUAGACCACAUGGUGUCAGUAAUAGAGGUUAAGAUUUGGAAAUUUCAGAGGUUGGGAUCCAGUGUGCGUUCUCUGCACCCUCUUGGUCUUUUUGGUGCUUGCACUGCAAUCUGGAUGUUGCCAGGCUUCCACAAAAAAGGGGUUUUCAAUCUUGUCCAUGACAUCUCUAGUAAUUUCUUAGGUGGUAUGGGUUUCCUCGGCUUUGCACUUUAACUUUUCCCUUCUUUCCUUUGCUUGCAGCCAUGAGCAGUUAAAGGAGACAUCAUAUUUGUCCAUUUGAGCUGAGGUUUCUUAAGUUCAGUCUUUUAUGAGUAUCGAGAUUUUCAAUUCAGUUCUCUUCCAUAAUGGCUCCCUUUUCUCUUUGAUGAAACAAUUGUUGUUUCGAAGUUUCUCAACUAAGAUAAUAAUUUCACCAGUGUGUGUUGUAUGUUCUGCUGCCGUGAAGUUUUUACUCCAGAUGCUUAUGUUCUUCGAUGAUUCAACCGAUGAGGUCUCUCUUAUGGUUAUGGACACCCGGCAAGUACUCGGUCAAUUUCGGAUUUUUUGAUAGUGACGUAAAGUGUCCUCUACCUUUGGUCUUCUAGCUACUUAUUUUCUCCAUUUUUCUUUUAGUUAUCACGCCAUUUGUCUGUUCCUUUUUGUUGGAUGGAUGUGUAGAUCAUAUGGUGACAGUAACAGAGGUUAAAAUCUGGUAAUUUCAAAGGUUGGUAUCCAGUAUGCAUUCCUCUGCACCCUCUUUUGGUGCUUGCACUGCAAUCUUGAUAUUGUCAAGGCUUCGAUAAUAAGGGGGUAAAAGGGGUUUUUCGAUCUUGUCUAUGGCACCUCUAGUAUUUUCUUAGAUGAUUGGGUUUCAUCAGCUUUGUACUUGACUGUUCCCUUUUUUCUGUGCUUGCAGCCAUUUGGUUUUAUAGAGCAGUGAAUUAUUCCUUUUUGGAGCGGCCCUGUUUGUCCAUUUGUGUUAAGGUGUCUUUAGUUCAGUUUUUAUGAGCAUCGAGAUUUUCAAUUCAGUUUUCUUGCCUGAUAGCUCCUUUUUGUCUUUGUCAAAACUACUGCUGUAUGGUGACAGUUAAGGAUUAAAUUGGGUAUUUGCAAGGUUGGUACCCAGUAUGCUUUCGUGUGCACCAUGUUUCUCGGUCAUUUUGGUGCUUGCACUGCAAUCUGGAUAUUAUUAGGCUUCGAGGGACAGGUUUUUCAAUUUUUUCUGGCAUUUUCUGGGUGGGUUUCGCCAGCUUUGCGCUCAACUGUUCCCUCCUUUCAGUGCUUGCAGUUAGUGGAUUAUAUGAGCAGUGAAUCCUUCUUUUCAUGGAGUGGCCUUGUUUGUUAAUUUUUGUUGAGGUUUCUUUAAUUAAUGUUUUGAAUGAUUAUCUAGAUUUUCAAUUCAGUUUCCUUCCCUAAUAAGAGUGGUUCCCUUCUCUCUCUGUCAACUCCUCAUUUAAAAUUACUUUUUCACUAGUGCGUUGUAUGCCAUAAAUUUUUAAGUCCAGAUGCUUAUGUUCUUUGGUGAUCCAACUGAUGAGAUCCCUCAUGGCUAUGGACACAUGGUAAGUACUCUAACUCAAUUAAUUUGGAUCUUUUGAUAGCCCUGUACAGUAAAACCCUAAAUUGGCGUUCUCACUUCUUAUCUUCUCCGCUUCCGCUUUCUUUUGUUUAACACACCAUUUGAUUUUGUUCGGUUGGAUAGAUGUUUGUAGACCACAUGGUGAUAGUGCUAGAUGGUUUGAUAUUUUGAAGUCUCUGCAUCAAGGAAAGGGAGUUUCCCAAUCUUGUCUGGCACCUCUAAUGAUCUCUCCUUUGGUGUGGGUUUUCCUAACUUUGCACUUAACUACUCCCUUCUUUCUGUUCUUGCAGCCAUUGGGGCUUAUGGACCAGUGAAUUCUUCUUUUCAUGGAGCCGACCUUGUUUGUUGAGUUUUGUUUGGAGGUUUCUUUAGUUCAGUUAUGAUUAUUGAGAUUUCCAAUUCAGUUUUUUCCCUAGUGGCUCCCUUUUCUCUUUGUCCAAUCUAGUUUUUAAUGGAAGUUACUUGACAAAGAUAACAUCGUUCACUAGUGUGUGUUGUAUUCUGCUGCCAUGAAAUUUUCAGUCCAGAUGCUUAUGUUCUUUGAUGAUCCAACUGAUGAGGUAUCUUAUGGUUAUGGACACCUGAUAAGUACUCGCGAUCAUCUUCUGAUAGCGCUGUAAAGUGCUUCUCCACUUUUGGUCUUCUAGCUACUCAUCUUCUUUGCUCUUUUGGUUAUCACGCUACUCGAUUUUUGUUGCAUGGAUGUGUAGACCACAUGGUGAGAAUAAUAGAGGUUAAGUUUUGGAAAUUUCAAAGGUUGGGAUCCAUUAUGGGUUCUCUGAGUCUUUUUGGUGCUUGCACUGCAAUCUGCAUAUUGUGAGGCUUCCACAAAAAGGGGGUUUUCAAUCUUGUCUAUGGCAUCUCUAGUGAUUUUUUAGGUGGUCUGGGUUUCCUCGGCUUUGAACUUAACUGUUCCCUUCUUUCCUUUGCUUGCAGCCAUGAGCAGUGACUAUUUCUUUCCGUGGAGUGAUCAGUUUGUCUACUUGAGCUGAGGUUUCUUUAGUUCAUUCUUUUAUGAGUAUCGAGAUUUUCAUUCAGUUCUCUUUCCUAAUGGUCCCUUUUCACUUUGUUGAAACUACUGUUGUAUUGAAGUUUCUCAGCUAGGAUAAUAUUCUCACCAGUGUGUUAUAUUCUGCUGCGAUGAAGUUUUCACUCCAGAUGCUUAUGUUCUUCGAUGAUUCAACCGAUAAGGUGUCUUGGUAAGUACGGCCAAUUUUGGAUCCUUUGAUAGCGUCGUAAAGUGUCCCUCUACCGUUGGGUCUUCUAGCUACUUAUUUUCUCUAUUUUCUGUUGGUUAUCACGCCACUUGUCUGCUCUUUUUCGUUGGAUGGAUGUGUAGAUCAUAUGGUGACAGUAACAAAGGUUAAGAUUUGGAAAUUUCGAAGGUUGGUAUCCAAUAUGCAUUCCUCUGCACCCUCUUGGUCUUUUUGGUGCUUGCACUGCAAUCUGGAUUUGUCCGUGCUUCGACAAAAAGGGGGGUUUGCAAUCUUGUCUAUGGCACCUCUAGUAUUUUCUUAGGUGGUUUGGGUUUCAUCCCCUUUGCACUUAACUGGUCCCUUGCUUGCAGCCAUUUUGUUUCACACAGCAGUGAAUUACGCUUUUGAGUUCAGUCUUUUAUGAGCAUCGAGAUUUUCAAUUCAAUUUUAUUGGCUAAAUGCUCUUUUUUCUGUUUGUCAAAACUACUGUUGUUUGGAGGUUCAACUGAGAUAAUAUUUUUCACCGGUGUGUUGUAUUCUGCUGCCAUGAGGUUCUUAGUCCCGAUGCUUAUGUUCUUCGAUGAUCCAACUGAUGAGGUCUCUUAUAGUUAUGGACUGCUGAUAAGCACUUGCUCAUUUUCUGACAGCCCUGUAAAGUGCUCCUCCACUUUUGGUCUUCUAGCCUACUUAUCUUCUCUGCUUCCAGUUUCUUUUGGUUAUCAUGCAACUUGGUUUAUUUUUGUUGUAUGGAUGUGUAGACCAUAUGGUGACAGUUAAGAGAGGUUAUGAUUUGGAAAUUUCAGAGGUUGGUGUCCAGUAUGCGUUCCUCCGCACCCUCUUGGUAUUUUUUGUGCUUGCUCUGGUUUCGACGGGAAGGUGGUUUUCCAAUCUAGUUUAUGGCAUCUUUAGUGAUUUCUAGGUGGUUUGGGUUUGGUGAGCUUUGCACUUAACUGUUCCCUUCUUUCUGUGCUUGCAGCCAUGGGUCUCAUAGAGCAGUGAAUUACUCUUUUUAUGGAGCGGGCCUUGUUUGUCCACGUGUGUUGACGUUUCUUUAGUUCAGUCUUCUAUGAGUAUCCAGAUUUUCAGUUCAGUUUUCUUCCCUAAUCAGAGUGCUUCCCUUCUCUUCUUUGUCAAAACUGUUGAUCUAUGGAAGAAGUCAACUUAUGUAGUUCUUUUUUUUUCCGCUUAUGUGUGUUGUGAUCUGCUACCAUGUCUUUUUAGGUUAUGUAGAUUGUAUAUAUUAAAAAAGGAGAAAGCUUAGGACCAAGCUGGUGCUAAGACCUUACAGAAAUUUGUAAUCUCUCUGACAGAAAACACACCAUUUUUAGUUUUUGGUCUUAAGAUACUUGCUUAUGUUCCUUGAUGACCCUGAUGAGGUCCCUAAUGGUUGAUACUUAUGGACAUUUGGUAAGUACUCAUUUUUCGUAGGAAGUGAACUUUAUUUUUCGUAGAAUUGGGUGAGCAUCACCAAAAUUGAAACACUAGAAAAAAUGUUAAAUAUACAGAACAUUAAUGUGUGUCGUAUAAUUUUACUGUGUUUUUUAACCUCACUGUGAUCCUCAGUUCUUUAAAACUAAUAUUUUUCUAUUUCUUUUUAAGUGUUAUUAUGAUGAUAACAUAAUAUUUGAGACAACUUGAUUUUAGUAAAUUUAAUUCUAAUGUGGUUUGUGUUUUAAUCUCCCAAUUGUAGAAGAAUAUAUGGUUAGUGUGUUAAUCUCGCUUCCUUUUAACAUUUUAACUGUAAUUCAUUUCUCCAACUAUGAUCUCUAUUAUACAUGUACUGCCCAUUAUCAAUACUGUGAUAAGUUGUAGUAUUUUUCAUUUAUAUUUGUGUGAUAUUUUCUUUUUCAUUUUGUUUUUCUUAAACGAAACUACCUCCUUUCUCUAACAAGUCAUUUGUCCGCCCUUUUGUGAAGACAUAAACAGUGUUAUCAAAGGCGCGCUUUAAGCCCUGAAGCGAGGCUCAAAACAUGUUGAGCGCUUCGCCUAGCUUUAUGUGCGCUUCAGUGUCGUCAUCAAGGCUCUAAGACAUACUUUUCCUUGCCAAUGAGCCUCUCUUGAGGAGGUGACACUAGAUGAUUGAUAUUUCACUUUAUCUUAAUAUUUUUACAAUUUCUUUGUCCAUAUAUUUGUUAUUCAUGCUUAUUAUUAUUAAUCUUGGAUUAAACAUAUAUAUAUUUGUAUUUUUGCACCAUUGCGCUUUUUUUCAUUAAAGCCCAUGCUUUAUAUGCGCUUCGCGCUUAAAAGCCCCAAUUGACCUUAGAGCUUUUUUCGCGCUUUUCGCUUUUGAUAACACUGGACAUAAAAUGAUAUCAAAUUUGGCAAAAUAAUUAUUGUUGUAACUUAGAAUUUAAGAAAAUAAAUCUUUACUACUCAAAUAUAUAUCCCGUGAAACCCCACAAGUGGGGUCUGGGUUUACUACUCGAAUUUUUGGAUUAUGAAAGUGGUUCACAAGAGAGAUACAAUUUUGGAGCUAUGGUCUUGACUUCGAGUAUUCAACAAAAAGUUCAAUAUAAUAUGUUAUCAACAUUAGAUAGUCAUAGGUCGGUAUCCUUUUCUCGAGUUUAACAAAUAAAAUGAAACGUAUCUACAAUCAAAUUAAGUUUUGAUCAGAACUUAUGCCAAGUUAAGUUACCUUUGCCCCUAAAAAAAAACCCCUCUUAUGCCAAUUUUUUUUUUUUUUUUUAAACUAAAAAAGAGUGAACGUACUGCAGUAGUAACCUCAUCAACUGUUCUUUUUAUAUAAUUGCAUUGUUGAGGUUGGUUGCUUCUUUCUGAAUGUCCAGUCCCUGCUCUUUUUGUUUAUUUUUAUGAGAUCGAGAAUGUAGAACCUUUGAACAUCACGAUGUAAAAUAUAGAUUUUCUUUAAAUCUCACAUUAAGGUUUGGUUUGCAGUCUGAUAUCUUUCUUGAACUAUGUUUCCUUUGCAGUCAUGCGUGGUGGCUAAUGUUACCAAUUUCAAAAAAUUAUGCAGUCCGAAUAACAUUCCUGUGUGCCAAAUGAAUUGGUUAAAUUGUAAGUGAAGGCAUUUAGGCUACUUAAAGAGGAAGACGUAAUAAUUUGCUUAGGUGAUGCUUCUGCCUCUCCUUUGUGGGUAGAGUCAUGAUAUUUUGAAUUCAAAUAUCACAAAGAUAUGUAGGUUAAGUAAUAAAAGAAGAACAGGAAACAAUAUACCUUGGUAGUUUGCUGGUGAAAAUUGUCGAAUUUAUUUUGUUUCAAUAGUAUUACUACUGGUUUGGGUGUUGUAAAAAUUUGAUUCUAUGUUAUAUAUUGUUCUGUGAAUAAUAUAAGAUAAUUUGAUUUCUGGAUAUCAUAUUUAGUUGUUGCAAGGUGCUAUGAAACUGUGGACGAGGGUUUUUGGAAUGCAACUUCUUCAUGGUAUGAAUUUGAUUACUGAUUGGUCAAUGUACAUUCACCCCGUGGGAGAUCUCUUAAAAAGACUAGGACUAAUUACAUCUUACAUUUCUUUUCUGGAGGUAGCAUCUAUGGUUUUUCAAUUUUGUCGUAGAUUUGAAUAGUGAAAAUAGAUGCAAAUCAGUAUGGUUCUGAGGGAAGGAAUUGGACUAUCUAUUCCGUGAAUUUCUCAUAUUUUAUACGUGCGAUACAUGUUCCUUUUUGUGCUCUUAGUAAAGCUCUAAGGUAUUGUUCUGGGCUAGAGCUGUGGCAUUUUUAUUUUUUUGCUGCUAACUUGUCAUUUGAAGUCCUGUUUUGCGCUCUCUAGUGAUGUCCCAAAAGUUUUCUACUUCAUGUGAAUUAAUAUAUGGUAAACGGUAUUUUCUUAACGUGGAUGUUUGUUUCAGUCCAGCUUUUCGAAAUCUGCUGGCUUUUCUUUGGAUGAACUGUCAUAUCAUAAUUCAUGUCUGCUACUGUUCAUUCCUGUCCUGGAAGGGCAAGGGUAUAGUAUAUGUCCUGUUUUGGGGAUUUGAGGUGCAUCACGAACUUAGGCUGGGGGCUUGCUCCACUAAAUAGAUCGUUUAGCUCAGAUAGCUGUGUGUACAAAAGCCUUUUUUUGUGAGGUAAAUAAUCAAACUUAGAAAAGGACAUAAUGCCAUGUGAUUUUUCUAGGAAGUGUAUCCCCUAAGCUUAGGUGCCGUUAAUCAAAUUUUUUGGUCUGAAGGAGUCCUCCAUAUCUGCUGUUGUGGAAGGAUACCCGCACUAAGGAGAUACCUUCAUGUAGAAGAAAUGAAAGAAAGAAGAUGCCCAACUUCUAGGUUUUGCUAGCUCAAUAGACAAGGAAGGGGUGGAAUGGGAAUGUGCUUUUAUUGUAUCUUCAUUUGAGAACCUUCAUGUGGUAUGUGCAACACCCAAUUUGGUAGAUCAGUUGGUAACGUUGGAAGUUAUUACUUCAAUUUACUUUUUAUUUUCUGCAUGUGCUAAAGCAAGGUACUGUAGAUUGAUUUUGUUGCUUUAAACAAGAUCUGAUGAUGUUGAAGUUAUCUUCUUGGCCGUGAGAUUCUGCUUUCUUCUGUUGGUUUUGUGGGUUAGUUCUAUGGUGGUCUUCAAUCUUUGUUUUGUAGGUUUGUGCAGAUUCGCCUUUGCUGGUGGGGGGGGGGGGGGGGGGGGAGCCUAUGCAGUGCCUUAUUAUUUGUUCUAGGCACAAUUAUUGAGUUUGUUCCAGUCUUCAAUUCAAGUUUUGAGAAUUUUCAGGAUAAUGAAACAUUUGCACAGUAUUCUAGCAGAAUGACUUAUUGUCACUGGUGAUGGAACGUAUCCAACAGUGUUCUAGAACAAUGACUUUGAAUCUCUAUUUCGACUCGUGUAAUUUUUUCCUUCAAUAUUUUGAGUUAUAAUGUCACCUAGAAGGCCAUUGCAAAGUCUAAAUUUACAAGUUCAAUGUUUUAUUUGUUUAGCGAUUAAAUUCGUGAAUUUAUCCUAGAUUCUCCCCUAGGUAUUCGUUUCUCACUUUGUAUCCCCAAGUACAGUAGGCCUACAUUCGCUCUCAUCAACAAUUCCAGAAAAUUGUUCCUUCUAACCCAGUCUGUUCUUCCCGUCUCUGUUCCUCUUAUUUUUUUUAAAACCAUCUUAUGUCCAGUUGUUCCUCAGCUCUGUGUCUUGAUUGCAUUUGAGUUAAAGCAUUAUGUUGAGGUCUGUUUUAUUUGACAAUAUGGUCUUAUCUUGUCUUGGCACCGACAAUGGUUCUUGCUUUCCCUUUUGUGGUUUUGGUCUAAUUUUGUACAUUUUUGUUUAGUUGACCCCUGUAACUCCGCCUGUCAAAUCAGCCGGUCCCAAGCCCGGAUUAAGGAGGAGGGAAGGUCUUGAGUGUGCAGUUAGUCUGUCCAUUCAAUGUUGCUCUUUGUCUUGAUUCGGAUGGAACAUGUGCUCCCUAUUUCUGAUACUGUUGGUGUUAUUUUUAUUUAUGUCAUGUCUUACUACUGUCGAAUAUUGGUUAAUCAGGAAUGCUGUGGAUGCUAAAAUGUAAUGUGUUAAGAUGGGUUAGGACCUUGUAUUGGCAAGUUGACAGAGGAUUCAGGCCAGGUGGUCUUGGUUAUCAUGCAAUGGCAAUAUAGAUAUUGCGAUAACAACUUAUUUUCUUGCAUCUUCAGUGAGGACAACUUAUUUUCUUGCAUCUUCAGUGAGGAGAAUUCACCAAGGAUCACAAUCUUUUCUAACAUUUGCUGCGAUUUAUUGAGGAUCCACUUCACACUGGAAAUAUUUUUUCGCUAUUGAUGUAUUUGGUUUCCUACUCAAUAUUCAGCUAGAGGUUAGCCCGGCAGCGUAUAAAUGUGUGUACUCAAGAAUCAUGUGAAUUUCUUUUCUACAUAGUUGAUGACCUGGUGGUACCUUAAAAAACUGUUGAUACUCAUUGCCUGUUUACAGUAUAGUUCUCUUUUAAGGGUAUGCUGUUUGUUAGUAGGUUUUCAUGGAUGCUGCAAACUACAUCUAGAUCAUGUGAGGUUUCAAUGCGAGUGGACUGCCUCCACAGUCUGUUUUCUUUAAUGUCUACUCCAUUCUAUGAUCCACCAUUGCAUUUGAAAAUCAUUCCACCAUUAAUGUCAUGUCUCUUGUUGAGGCAAAAUACUAGCCGAUUUCUUCACAUUUGUCCCAGCUAGUGGCAGAGCCAGAAUUUCCACCGAGGGGGUUUAAAAUAUAAAAAAGUAGACAUACGAAGAAGCUUAAGGGGGUUCAACAUCUACUAUAUAUACAUAAAAAAUAAUUUUAACCUUGUAAAAACAGUGUUUUUUUCCGCCGAGGGGGUUCGGAUGAACACCCUCAGCAUAGUGUGGCUCCACCACUGGUCCCAGCCAUUGUGAAUAGCGCUGGUGAGAGACAGCAGAUAACUUGCCGGAUUAAUCGAGGUGCAUGGAAGUUGGCUCGGAUAUCAAGGGAUGACAAAAAAUACUCUUUAAUAUUCGCUAUUAGCCUAUGAGGUUUCAUGAAUGCUGCAGACUACCUGAAAAUAUAAGUUUGCAGUGGUGAUUAAGCUUUCAUUGGCAAGAUUGUGGAUAUGAUAUUGAUAUCUGUGGUCUGUGCUUGCAGGCCAAAGUCCAAAUUUUCAGCAUGGAGGGAUUUUAGUUGUUUUCAUGUUACUUCUGAUAUCCACGUUUGUAUUGGGAACUUAUUUUGUUAUUGGUGUCUCUAAAUGACUUCCAACUUAAAAUUCAACUAAAUAAUUAGGUUCGUGUUUAGCCAGUCUGCGAAUUGGUGUAUAUUGAAGGAUCUUGUGCAUGGAUGCAACAUAAUUAUUGUUUGCGAUUGCUUGUGUGGGUUUCCAUGGGUGCUGCAGAGCACACUGCACAAUCAAAUGCCAGCUUGCAAUGGUAAUUAACUGCGUGGAUAAUCUCCUGAAAAUGAGGUGUGUGUUUUCAGUGAUGUUGUAGAAAUGUUCAAUUUCAGUAUACGUUGGUGUAUCAAAAAUUGAUAUACAAUGCUGUAGCAAAUGUUAGUCCAUGUGACUUAUUUCCUCAGGGUCCACAGGAGGGUCAACACAUACCUAAGGAAAUUUGGUUGUACCUUCGAGUCUGAUAUUAAUUCAUGUGCUCAAAUUGUAAUUGUAACACUUAGCUGAUUAUUCCUUUCAUGUAGAUAUCUCUUUCAUACUCUCUCAGUUGUGAGUUGAGAGAUAUAAGGAUGCAUUUGUUUCAUACUCUCUGAGUCUCGAGUUGUGGGAUAUAACUUUGUUAGCAUGCCUAUCUGUUUUCAUUAUGCCUAGGAAAUUUCAUAUGGUGUUUCAUCUUCUUUAGGGUAAGCAACUUGAUUAUUCACUCAGUUACCUCCUAAGUUCCAUCACUAGAGAUAUUUUGUAAUUCUCAAUAAAAUUUUAAUAAUAUUUGCAUAAAAAGGAUGUAUUAAUAUGAUGACUUAUAUGUUUUUUUUUUUGGUUAACAUAACAUCAAAAUUGUACCGCUCAUAUCAAUAUCAGGUUUUCAUGGAACCAAACUUAGAUGCAUAUGCGGGUGUUUGAAUGGUGGCUCUAGAUUUCCCUCUAUUAUAUACCUUUUUCUCCCAUCAAGCCUGCAAAAUAUAAAUUUUAGUAUCUAAAUAUUUAUCCCGUUUGCAGUUUUUUUUUUGUUUUGUUUUUUUUUUUUUUGUUUUUUAUAACAUUGGAAAAGAAUAUAACCCACAGACAAAACUAAAAAGAAUAUGAUUUUUUUUUUGUUUUUUUUUGUUUUUUUAUAACAUUGGAAAAGAAUAUAACCCGCAGACAAAACUAAAAAGAAUAUGAUAUAACUUAAUAAGAUCAACCAAUUACACAUAAAAGAAACUGAGUCUAAAUUGAUAUGAAGGUUCAGUGAAAAUUAAGGUGAAAAAAAUAAAGACAGCGAAGAAUGAAAUUGCAAAAGGGAAAACAAUGACAAACCUCAAAUGAGCAGAAAAUCAGUAAAUCAAGACAAUGACCAUGACAGAAAAUUGAGAAAGAAAACUAGAAAAAUGAAGUUGUGGGUUUCAAACUACUUUUACUUGUUCAUAUUAUUUGAUUUGGCAAACCCCUUAAAAAAAUGACAAUUUUACUAUAUUACCCCUUUAUUGUAAAUCAUCUAAACAAUUAAUCAAUUAAACGUACUUUAAGUUUGUGCACACACUAACAAUUCCUUAAAGUUUUCAAUCCUAAAUUAAUGAUAAGCGUAAAGUAGGUAUGAAAUAGUAAAUUAUCUCUUGAUUUUCCAAACUGGACAAGUAAAAGUGGACAUCUAUUUUCUGUAUACUGGACAAGUAACAAUGAAGGAAUUGUUAGUGUAUUUUGGUUUAGUUCUUUUUCUCAUUAACCUUGUGAUUUAUGUGUAUAUAUACUACUAGGAUAGGAUUUUGCUAUUAGAUUUGAUGUUGUUUCACUUGCGAAUUAGAGACUGGUUCUUGAUAUCUUCUUGCGUGUUCGCAGUCGCAGUGUUUGAAUAGUUGACCAUUUGUUGUUAUGAUUCUCUUUGGAAGUUGAGGUGAUUGCCAGUGCUUUGAUCGGUUUGGUUUUGAUUUAUUUCUUGGUUAUCGGUUUGGUUUUGAUUUCUUUCUUGGUUAUCGGUUUGGUUUUGAUUUCUUUCUUGGUUAUCUGUUAUAUACAUAUCCAUAAUCUUGAUUUCCUUGUGUUGGCGGUUUAUUUGUUUCUAUUUGGUUUUCAUUUCUUGACUAUCUGUUAUAUAUGCAUCUCCCUCUACUUCCCUAAUCUUGAUUUCCUUGUGUUGUUAGUUUAUUUGUUUCUUAUUUGGUUUUGAUUUCUUGCCUAUCUCUUAUAUACAUCUCACCCUUCCGUAUCAUGAUUUCCUUCGAUCGUAGUUUAUACGGAGUGUAGGUUUCUGGUCCCAAAAACUUGAUGUGCAAAUUCAAGAAUCCUUGGUGUUAGAAGAUUUAUCCAUGAAUGAGGAACAUCCCAUAGCCCCUUAUGGAAUGUAGCAGUUUGUCCGGUGGAGCGAUCGGCUUGGUUUUGAUUUCUUGGCUAUCUCUUAUAUACAUGCUCUCCCUACCCUCAAUUGUUAGUUUAUUUGUUUUUGACUUUCUUGUGUAUUGUAAUGUGAGUUUCUUAUUGCAGUCCAUUGAUUGAUUUUCAAUGUUAAGAAAUUGAAAGCUGGUGAGAUCCAUUCUAGAUGCAAUUCUGGGAAAAUCAAUCUUUGAUUUCUGGUUUUGGCUGAUUUUGAGUUUCUUGAUGCGAGAUAUUCCCUAUGCGAUUAGUUCUGUGUUCAUGUUUCCACUUGGUGAUCGGAGAUGAUGUUCCUAUGUUAGAGAUCAGGUUCCAGUUAUGCAUUUAAGGGUUAUUCCGUACUUUUGAAAAGCUGUGCUGGUGUCUACUGUUUUGCCACACUCUGAGCUAUCACUGCCCUGAAACCUAGCAAUUUCCUUUUUGUUGAAUCAGAAUACAAAUAGGACUGGAAAUUUUGCCGAUUUGGUUAUAAAAACGGUAUGACUUCGUCAUAUAUUCUCACCUACGUGUCACAAACGGUGCUCAACCAUAGAUUAGAGCUAUCAGUUUGGGUUUGGUAUUAGUCUUUCAUCUUUAUGUUAAUUUAGAUGUUUAUGUUAAUAUUGUUUUAUCCCUCGCAUCGACUUCUUUUACCUUCUUAUUUGGUUCAGUCAUCAUUGAAUUUCAGUCUUAGGUAUGGUGUCAGUUGUCAGCGCGCAAAGUGUUCUACAGGGGUUAGUGUCUUGCUUCAGUGUUUGUGGUCUUUGACUAUAGGUAUUGGAUAUUUCGGUCUCGAAGCUUUGUCAAAACUACUGCUAUGUGGAAGUUCUCAACUAAGAUGAUUCUUUUAACUAUUGUGGAUAGUGUGUUCUGCUACCACUUCUAGUUUAGUUCAGAUGCUUACAUCUUUGAUGGUCCAACUGAUGAGGUCUCUUAUUGUUACGGACACCUGACAAGCUCAAAAGUCAAUUCUGGAUCUUUUAUAGCACCACCGUAGACUGUAGAGGAGCUUUCUUUUGAUUUUCAAGCUACUUAUCAUCCCUCUGCUUCUGUUUUCUUCUGGUUAUCACGCCAGCUUGAUGUUGUUUGUUGGAUGGAUGUGUAGACCACGUGGUGACAGAGGAGUAGAUUAAGAAAUUUCAAAGGUUGGUAUCUGGUAUGCAUUCCUGUGCACCCUGGUUCUUGGUCGUGUUGGUGCUUGGCAAUCUGGAUAUUAUGAGGCUUCAACAAAAAGGCGGUUUUCAAUUUUUUUUUCUCUAACAUGUCUAGUGAUUUCUUAGGUGGUAUGGGUUUCGUCGGAUUUGCACUUAAUUGUUCCCUUCUUUCUGUGCUUGCAGCCAUUGGGUGUUACAGAGCUUUAAAGUCCGCUUUCCACGGAGCGACCUUGGUUUUCCAUUUGUGUUGAGGUUUCUUUAGUUCAGGAUUUUAUGUGUACCAGUUUUUCGAUCCAGUUUUCUUCCCUGAUCAGAGUGGUUGCCUUCUCUCUUUUUCUAAACUGUUGUUGUAUGGAAGCUUUCAGCUAAAACAGGUUUUUUCACUGUGCUGUAUUCCACUACUGUUUUUAGUUUAGUCCAAAUGCUUAGCUUUCAGCUAAAACAGGUUUUUUCACUGUGCUGUAUUCCACUGCUGUUUUUAGUUUAGUCCAAAUGCUUAUGUUCUUAUGUGAUCCAACUGCUGAGGUCCCUUUGAUGGUUGUUAUGGACCCCUGAUAAGUACUCAAAACUCAAUUUUGAUAUUUUGAUAGCCCCAUAAGUGCUCCUCUCUGCUUCUGUUUCCUUUUGUGUAUCGCACCAGUAUGCGUUCCUGUGCACCCUGUUUCUUGGUCUAUUUGGUGCUUGUACUGCAAUCUGGAUAUUGUCAGGCUUCCACAAAAAGGGGGUUUUCAAUCUUGUCCCUGGCAUCUGUAGUGGUUUCUUAGGUGGUUUGAGUCUCAUCAGCUUUGCACUUAACUGUUCCCUUCUUUCUGUGCUUGCAGCCAUGCGGUCUCACAGAGCAGUAAAUUAUUAUUUUCGUAGAGCAGCCUUGUUUGUCCACCUUUUCUUGAGUUCAGGCUUCUUUGAGUACCGAGAUUUUCAAUUCAGUUUUCUUCCCUAAUAAGAGCGGUUCGCUUAUUUCUUUGUCAAAUCUGCUGUUGUCUGGAAUUUCUCAACUAAAGUAGUUUUUUAUUUUUUUAUUUUUUUUAACUAGUUUCUGCUGCAAUUUUUAGCUUUGUCCAGAAGCUUAUGUUUUUCGACGUUCCAACUGAUGGGGGGUCCCUGAUGGUUGAUGGUUAUGGACACCUGAUAAGUACUCAAACUCACUUCUGGAUAUUUUGAUACGUACUCCUCUACUUUCGGUGUUCUUGCUACAUAUCUUCUCUGCUUCCGUUUUCUUUUGUUUAUCACACAAGCUUAUUUUGUUUGUUUGGUUGGACGGAUGUUCGUAGAUCUCAUGAUGAUAGUGAUAGAGCAUUAAAUUUGGGAAUUUUGAAGUUUGGUUUCUUGGCCAUUUUGGUACUCGCACUGCAAUCUGGAUAUUAACAGGGAUCAAGAAAAGGACUUCUCCAAUUCCUAUCUGAUAUCUCUAGUGAUCUCUUGCUCCUGGGUGGUAUGUGUUUUGUGAGCUCUGAACUUUAACAGUUCCCUUCUUUCUGUUCUUGCAGUCGUUGCCUCUUACUCAGAGGCUCAGAGCAGUGAAUUCUUAUGAUAUCUUCUUUUCAUGGAGCGGCCUUGUUUGUCGAUUAUUCAGGUUUCAUUAGUUCAGCUUUUAUAUGUACUGAGAUUUUCAAUUCAUUUUUCUUCCCUAAUCAGCGGCUCCCUUUUCUAUUUGUCAAAGUUACUGUUGUAUGGAUCUCAACUAAGAUAAUAUUUUCCACUAGUGUAUGUUGUGUUCUGCUGUCAUGAAGUUUUUAAUCCAGAUGCAUAUGCUUUCAAUGAUCCAACUGAUGAGAUCCCUGAUGGUUAUGGACACCUGAUGAAGUUCCCAAACUCAAUUUUGGAUCUUUCCGUAAGGUACUCCUCCUUGGUGUUCUUGCUACUUCUCUGCGUCCUUUUUCUUUUGUUUAUCACAACCACUUGAUUUUGUUUGGUUGGUUGGAAGGAUGUAUGUAGACCACACGGUGACAGUGAUAGAGGGAAUACAUUUGGGAGUUUCAGAGUUUGAUAUUCUCUCAGGCUUCGAGAGAAGGGGGUGGUCCAAUCUUGUCUGGCAUCUCUGGUGAUUUCUAUGUGGCAUGGUUUCUUGGCUUUGCACUUGACUGCUCCCUUCUUUAUGUAUGUGCUUGCAGCUGUUGGUCUUUAAGAGUGGUGAUUUCUUCCUUCCAUGGAGCAGCCUUGUUUGUCCAUUAGCGUUGCGGUUUUUUUGUAGUUUGGUUUCUAUGAGUGUCUUCCCUAGUCUCUUUGUCGAAAUUGUUGUUAUAUGGAGUAUCAGCAUGCGUUCCUGAGGUUGGUGUUCAGUAUUCAUUCCUGUGCACGCUGUUUCUUGGUCUUUGGUCUUUUAUUGCAGUCUAAAUGCCAUCAGGCUUCAAGAAAAAAUGGGUUUUCAGUAUUUUCUCUGGAAUCUCUGGUGAUUUCCUGAGUGAUUCGGGUUUUGCCACUUGGUGUGCUUGCAGUUGUUGGACGGUCUUAAAGCAGUGAAUUUCUUCUUUUCAUGGAGAAGCCUUUGGUUUUUCCGGUUUGUGUUGAGGUUUCAGUAGUUCAGGAUUCUAUUUGUAUCAGAUUCUCAAUUCGGUUUUUUUCUCUAAUCAAAGUGAUUUUCUUCUCGCAAUAUUUUCUUUGAAGUGAUGCUCUUCUGGUAGUCAUUUUCUGAAGAAAAUUUAGCAUGCCCUUGGUGGUUUUGUUGCUUGGUCGUUUCCAUUCAAUUUUUGGUUCUUUUAUUAGUUGAUCUAUCUGCAGCCAUAAUCACUCCGUUGCAUAAUUAGAUUUAUGAAACGAAACAAAAUUUUGGGGAGAGGGUGCAACUAUCAUUUUGGGCGUUUAGUUUCUUAGGAGUUCUCUUUGAAUCUUUUUGUGUAAUCAAGUUUCAGUCAGUCCUGUUUCUUCCCGGUGGUCGGCCCCAUCUGCCUGAUUGUUAGAGACGUUAUCUUAAUCAGGUCUGCAUAAUGUGAUUUGAGUUCGUUCUGGUGAUUUUCACAAAAAUGCUACUAGCCUUCUGUUGGAUUCGAUAUCUCUGCUCAGUUUUAUUUACAAUGUGGAGGACCCACAUUAGGGUAGAAGGCUAGUAUAUAAGUCUCGUUAUCUUUCCUUAUUAGUAGGCGCAUUAGCGCAUUAUAAUUUCUUGUGCUCUGAUUUAUGUUAUUAUUCGCUACUUUCUGUACUUUGAUUACUCUAUUUUAUCUGUGCCGCUUUCGUUAUUUGCAUUUCCAUAUCGCUUUGAAUUCCUUGAUUAUCCUGUUUUACUGUGUCGCUUGCAUUAUUUCAUUACAAUAUCGUUUUGAAUCUUUUAACCUUAUCUGACUCCCUUUUUUAUGCUUCUAUUGAGCCGAGGGUCUCUCGGAAACAGCCAUCCUACCUUGGUAGGAGUAAGGUCUGCGUACAUUCUACCCUCCCCAGACCCCAAGAUGUGGGAUUUCACUGGGUUGUUGUUGUUGUUGUUGUAGUCAUCCUGAAUAAGCAUCCCUGUCUGUGGGUGGAGGGGAGCAACUCUAGUUCUUUUUUUCUGCCAGUUGUCCGUCUGGUUCGUUGGGUUUGAUUUUCUCCCGUAUGUAGGUUUCUGCUCUGCAAUCCUUGGUUGUGGCUGUUGAGAGUUUGGGCCGAGGGAUUAUGAGGUUUUUGGCGUUACACAACUAGUCUAGUGUGUUCAUUUUCCUGAUGACCAGAGAUAUUUGAGGUUUUUUCCGUAUCCAUAGAAUAGGUCUGAAUUUUGUUGGUGUAGUUGUAUCAUUAUACCUCAAGAUAUUCGUGAUUAUCUCGUAUUUUUUGGAAUGGUGUUUUGAUGACUUCCACAUUGUUUCAGCUUUGAGCAUGGAGUGAUAGGUCUGGAUUUAGUUUAUUUGCUCUUUUUCUAUUUCAGUCUUGCUUCAGUAUCUUUUUCCUUGGCUUCUUUGUAUGCUUUUUUUGGAGGCUUCUGUUUAGCUGGAUAUUUUUCCAAGUGCAGGCUUAGUGUCAAAGCUAGAUGGGCGAGGGUGUCUGAGGUUUGGCUGCAUGCUAUUUGUUUAUUUGGUCUGCAGUAAACUUUCAUUUCCUAUUGCAGUAGUCCUUGUGUUGGGAAGUUGCGGAGCGGGCUUUUUCUCCAUUGGCCAUGGGUACCAAUGCACUUGUUAUUUGAUGAUGGGAUGGAAGCACUUGCAGAGUCUUCGCAACCAGUGUUGAGUGAUUAUCUACAUUGGGCUUCUCACUUGCAUCUUUGAUAGAUGCGUAAAGUAGUCCUCUAUUUAGUGUUCUAGCUAUCUCAUCUCUCCUGCUUCUGUUUUCUUCUGUAUAUCACACCAGCUUGAUUUUGUUUGUUGAAUGGUAGUAGACCACAUGUGACCAUAAAUAAUAAAGAACUGGAUUCGGAAAGGGCAUAUCCAGUUGUGCGCUUGUGGGCCUUGGUGUUUUCUUUUUGGUACUCAUACUGUGAGGUGGAUCGUGUCAACAUCGAGGAGAAGGGGUCUUUUGGCAUCUUGUGUCUGGCAUUUCUAGUGAUUUCUUCGGUGGUAUGGGUUUUGCCAAUUACAUACUUACCGGGCCCUCUUUCUGUGCUUGCAGUUGCUGGGUCAUAAGCAGUGAAGGAUAUUUUUGUUAUUGUUUUAUUGGGACACUCUGGUUUUGGUUUGUGCGAUUUUUCUUCCUUAUUGCGUUAAGUUGCUCUAAACUAUACCGCUGAGAUGUGAGAUAGUCAAUUCAAUUUCUUUCCGCGCCAUCUUCCUUGUUCAUGUAUAUCAUAAGUUUCUGCAUUGAUCAGUACCCAUCUAUCUCCUGACCUUCAACUGUUAAAUGCUGUUUGGGGCAUGUUGAAGGUAUGUGGAUUCACUGUUUGUCUGUGACGGAAGGUUCUGCAUUGAUCAGCUUCUGACUGGUGAGGACUAUAUCCCUAAGCUUGUCAUUUUAUAUUUAUUGCCACUAUGCAGACUCGGGUCCUAGUCUGCCUGUAAGAGGAUUUUCAAUGGGUUCUAUUUAUCUGCUGCUGCUCAAUAUUAUGUGGGCUUUCUUUCAAAGCAGCUAAAAAAGAAAGCAGCUAAAAAAGGUUAGAAGUGAGCUAUGCGGAUAAUAAAAGAGCAAUUGGGCCGAAUCUGAUAAAACUGGAAGGCCGACAGCACUGGGCCGUAAUUACUCUUUUGAAUUCGACUUAAUUUGUAUUAUUUUGGUCAAAACUCAGUUUUGUGGCACUGCAUAGGUACUAGGACGAGAUGCAACUCGCUCAUAUGUUUUUACCAGAAGGGGGGUGGAUUCAAUUUUCCAUCUGUACAAGCAAUGAAUGAAUGGUAUUACAUUAAGAUAAAUUCAUAAUCCCACUAAGCAUAGAAAAGGAACUUAAUUUGUCAAUUCUCAUGGCAUAUCCGUCAAUUGCAUUAUGAGUAGACAUAGUACAUCAUGCAUGUUACUAAAGGUUUAAUAAUGUGUAAUAUUUCUGAUCAUUAGUCAUUUGUUGGUCCAAGAAGUUGCUGCCAGAACUAGUGGGCUAUGCAACAAAAUAUAUUGAUCCUUGCCCCAGCUGUUGACCAUCCGUCCUAUGUUAUGCAGGAUUUGUUACUGCAGCUGAUCAAGAAUUUCCACUAGUUGAACUACGUCAUAAGACUCCCUAAGAAUGAUACUAAUCAACGACUAUUACAACUUUCAACAUGUAUCUGUCUAGCAGAUUUAUCUUGCUAGAAGGAGCUUUUGGCUUUGCGUAAUAUCCCUACCUUUUUUGUAUGACAUGAACUUUGGCAAAUUCUUGUUUGACAAGGUUUAUCUUGUGGAGAAAAGAUGAAAGUGGAGAAAGGCCAUUCAGUGAAUGAUGUGUUGUUUUCUGUUCAGAUGCCUUGCCACUUGACUUACAUGACGCUUUAGGAUGAUAUGGAAAUUGUUUUGUUGUUAACAUCAGAUUAUGGGUGGUUUUUAAAUCUACCAGCAAGAGGAUAUCUAAUUUAAUGUUUUGUUUAUGCUGGUGAGAGAAAUCUGUGGAACGGAUAAGAAACGAAUUGCCUUGUGUUGUUUCUUCUUUGGCUGUUAUUGUCCUGCAUCGUCGUAGAAUUGAUAUGUCUUCUUAUAUAUACGCAAGCUUGCUUAUUGUCUUUCAGCCAUUCUAUACAUGGCUGGAUAGAAGGCAAAAUCCUUUUCUCUUUGGUGUCAGUUACUACUUCUUGUGGACUAUUCUACAGAUGCCUUUGUUUACUCUGGUGAUGGUAAUUAGCACUGUUAAUCUGGUAGUGGUACUUGACAAGCUAAUCUUUGAUGGGAUCUUCAGUUUUACUUUGGGUCCCUGUCUCUUUCAGUGUGUUUGGGUUUGAGUUUCCUCUCAAGAGGCAUGAUGAAACUUGGUUGGUGUCCCCUUGGAGAUGUUAUUUCAGUCCACAGUCUAUCUCCUUGUUGAGUGCUGUAGUUCGAGACUUCUUAACCUCUCAUAACCUGGAGAGGUAAGUUUGAGUUUUGGUUAAUUGGUCUUUUGUUUUCAGCUCUUUCUUCUCUAAUUCUCACAAUCUAUGAUUCUUUGGUAUUUUGGUUGCUUGACCUAAGUAAAAUUGUGGUUCCUUAAGUUGCCGAAAAGACUAAUUCUCGGUGUUGCAGAUAUUUUGAUGUUCUGCUUAAUUCUCACUUUUGUUGGUUUCUAGAGGCAAUCCAAGGACUUCCCUAUUUAUGUUAUGUCAACUUCUUUCUGAUUCUACACGGUUUAUUGUUGGUAAGGGUAAAGACCGUGCAGUUUGUUUAUUGGAUGUCAACAAGAUUAUUUUUGGACGGAGUAAACAUAAUCUGGUACCUGCGGCAGAUCUUCUUUUCUUGCAUCUGCUCCCCUGGAGAAAAAUUCAGUACAAAUUUCUGGGUCUUGCCUUGUAGAUCAAAAUUGCUCAUGAGCUUUUAAAUAGACUAUCAUUGGGUUGCUGGAGUAGUGGAAUUAAUGUGUUAUCUGCUAUGAGCAAGUAUUAGUUGCACUGAUAUAUUAUAUGUUAUCCACACAAUUGGUUAGGUGAAUUCAGGCACUAAACCUGAGAAGGGACGAGAUUAAGGGGCUUCUAAAAAACAGUCUGAUAUUGGAGCUGUUGCAGUGCUUUUGAUAAUGUUUGACUCAUGUUUUCUAAGCAUAUGUAGUAUUUGCUGAUCUGGAUCUCUUACCUGUAAAAUAGCACUAUGGAUGUGAGAAGAGCUAUACUUUUUUAUGAAGUCGAGGUAGGGUAGGAAUUGGCAUCUUGAGGCAGCCGCGAGGCUUUGGCUUCAGCUCAUCGUGGUAUUUCUUUUUUGUUUGAUAUGGCGACUGAAUUGGAUAUUUCUCAUUUUCCUAAGCUCUAGUUGUCCAAGUUUGUUAGUCAGGAGUUAUCAGCAGAGAGAUGUUGCUAUUGGAGUAACUGUCGCUCCAGAUUUUGUCCUUUUGUUUUUUAAGUCCUUGUAGCUACUUUGAUAGCGCUAGGAUUUUAAGGAACUUUAUUUUUUGCCUAAAGUUCACAAAUUUAGUUCCAUACCAGUGGUUUUUGCUCCUCUCCAUAGGAGGUGAUUAACAUGAGUAGUUGGAGAAUGGGUAAAUGUUAAACAAAAAAAGUUCUGGUCCUGGACAUCUGAAUUUUUGUUUUGACGUUGACCUGUUCUAGUCAUUUUUGCAUGUUCCAAAAGUGUUUACUUAUCUGCUUGGAUAGCAUUACAAGAGCUUCUGGUUUGUUUUGACAUUGACCUUUUCUAGUCAUUUUUGCAUGUUCCAAAAGUGUUGACUUAUCUGCUUGGAUAGCAUUAAAAGAGCUUCUGGUAUGUUUUGUGUGGAGAUGUGUUUAACUACACUUGAAUGCUCUAAGUACUAUCUAAUGCGCUUUCUUCUACGUUGUGUGGUAAUUUGUUGAUCUAUGUGCACCUUGCAGUCUAUGGAGGAUGAGUGUUCUGUUAGGGGCUGAGUGGUGGUGGUUCAAUUUAACUAUGAGCAAGACCUGAAUGCUUCUCAAAAUGAAGAGUCUCCUCUCGCAUGUAUGGAAUCCAGUUGGUGAGGCAGGACUGCGAUUAUAGGUGGUCUAAAGGUAAUAUUGCACCACUAUUUCUUGCUUCAUUGAAUUCGAUGAAGACACACCAGAACCCACGGAAAAAGCAUAUCCAGUAGUGCUCUUCAUAUCGUCAAUGUUUCCUGCCCAAUCACUAUCAACAAAUCCAAGCAAAGCACGUUUUUCGACCGGUCUAGACCAUAUUCCAAGUUGUACAGUACCUUUUAAGUACCUAAGCACUACUUUCCGCAAUUGCAAAAUGAGUGUCGCUGGGACUUUGCAUAAAUCUUGCAAGCAAACUAGCAGCAUACAUUAAAUCAGGUCUUGAAACCUUCAAGUACAAGAGACUUCCAAUCAAACCUCUGCAAAAUGAAGCAUCACACUUUUUGGCUCCAUUUUACUUUGAAAAAUUUGGUAUUCAAAAUCAAUGGUGUAGAAAUUGGUUGCACUUUUGCAUUUGAAUUCUUUCAGCAUCUCCAAAGCAUACUUUUGCUAAUUAAGAAAAAUUUCAGCCUCUGAUUGGUAUACUUCCAGCCCCAAAAUGUACAUCUCUCCCAAAUUUGACAUUUCAAAUUGUUUGUAUUUUUACUUUAAGAUUUUGCAAUUCUUACUCAUCACAGCCUGUAACAAGAAAAUCGUCGUUUAUAAAGCAUCAAUUAAUGAGCUAUCAUUAGUGAAAAUCUUGGUUGCUGAAAUGAGCAUUCGAUUCUAUUGUACCAAGCUCUUGAUGCCUGCUAAGAAAGUAAUCUCUUAAGUAAAGGGUACUAAUAUAAUAGUUCUUUAAAAGGUUCUCUUGGGGUGCUAUGUCAAAAGUGAUGUGAUUCCCGGGGGGGAUCACGAACGAGAUAUAGCACUACACGGCCUAUUUUGAGCUUGAAAGAAGAACUGCUACGCCCCUUUACUUAAGUAAUAUCGUAAGGUUCCCUCUUCAAUCCAUUCAGUGCUUUUUGAAGCUUGUACAGCUAACCUUCACUUCCUUGAACCACAAAAUCUUCCGGGUCGAGCUACAUAAAUCUCCCCUUCUAGAAAAUCGUUUAAGAAAGUAGAUUUGACAUCUAAAUGCUAGAUUUUUCAUUUGAUUUGUGAUGUCCAUGCAAUCAAAAUUUUGAGUGUGUCCAUCCUUGCAACAGGUACAAAAGUAUCCGAGUAAUCAACUCUAGGCUGUUGAGAAUAACAUUUAAUGACCAGCUUUGGUUUGUGCUUGUUGAUAGAUCUAUCUGCAUUCAACUUAACUCUGUACACCCAUUCAACUCUAAUAACUUGUUUAUUAUCAUGUUUGUCAACGAGUUUUUAUGUCUUGUUCUUCUCAAUCAUGGAUAUUUCCUCCAUCGUCGGUUGCUUCUCAUUGGCAUCUUGAAAGUUUGAAGGUUCCGUGACAGCAAGACUACAUCUUAGAUAAAUUUCAGCCAACAUUUUAGUGCCUCUUAAGAGAAAUGUUUUCAUUAUUUUCUGCUUCCGAGUCGUCAUUUGAAUCUUGAAAAACAGGUGCAACAGCCUUCUUUCUGAGUUGAGAUAUAUUCUGUUAAAAGUUGUUUUUAGGCCUGCACCGGAAUUUAGCUUUCAUUUUAAUUUGAAUAAAUAGUAUUUAGGAGUUUGUUAUUUUCAGUAGAUAUUUUGCUGAUCUUUAGGUAUUUGAAGUUAGUAUUCUAUUAUAAAUUGUAGUCUUAGAUUGCAGUGAAGUCAUAUCGAACUUUUGUUAGAAAAAUGCUUAAGAACUACGGUAAGUGUCUGUUUUGUUUUAUGUGUCAUGACGUGUGUUUUCUUCGAACGAGGUCUUCUAGCUCUUCUUGGUAGCCUGAUCGCUGUCUUAGAAUUUUUGAGAUCUUUCUCAAAAAUUCUGCCCCGGUUUCAGGACUUGCUUCGGGUGCCCCUUGUGUGUUUAGUUUCUAUGUUCCCUAAUUCUUAGGAGUUGAUUUUUUUAACUUUAGUUGAGAUCGUAAACUCUGUAAGUCUGUAACUUAUUUAUAGAGUUUCAAAAGAGUUUUGCUUUCAUCAAUAUUCUUUUGUUGGUUUAUCAAAGUUUUGUUCCACCGGUUUAAUAGUAAGUAAAAACAAUUUUUUCUGUUCUUAAUUAUCUGGAAACUCAAAAUUGGUAUUGGAAUUGAAAUUAACAAGGCAAUUUUAUCAAGCAUGGAAGUAGAAUCGAGUUUUUCAAGAAUGGCACCUCCUGUUUUUUAAGGUGGUAGUUAUCAGAUUUGGGCGGUGAGGAUGGAAACAUAUCUAGAUGCCAUGGAUCUGUGGGAGGUAGUCGAAGAGGAUUAUGAAAUUCCUCCGCUGCCUAAUAAUCCACUAUGGCCCGAAUCAAGAACCAUAAAGACAAGAAAACCAGAAAAUCAAAGACAAAGGCCUGUCUAUUUUCAGCACAAUUUUUACUCGAAUUAUGUCUUUAAGAUCAGCCAAAUCCAUCUGGUAUUAUCUCAAGAAAGAAUUCAAAGGGGAUGAAAGGAUUAGAGGUACACAAGUGCUUAAUCUUGUAAAAGAUUUCGAGAUGCAGAAGAUGAAAGAAACCAAAACCAUCAAAGAUUACUCUGAAAAGCUGCUAAACAUAGCCAAUAGGGUAAGAUUGCUUGGUUCUGCUUUCAAUGUCUCUCGUAUUGUUGAAAAAGUUCUGGUAACUGUGCCGGAAAUAUUUGAAGCAACCAUAACCACGUUGGAAAACACCAAGGAUCUGUCCAAGAUUACCUUGGCAGAGUUGUUGAAUGCUUUGCAGGCUCAAGACCAACAAAGGGUUAUGUGAGAACAAGGAAAUACCGAUGGAGCGCAUUGCUAGCCAAAAUCUAGAUGGUGGUAAAACAAAAAGAAAAGAACAAGAAGAAUCAACAAACAGGUGAUGUAGACAUUCCAGCAAGUUCUGUUAAAGGAAAAGCAAAGCAGGAAACUCAAAGAGAAGUUAUCCUCCUUCUAAGCAUUGUGGAAAGAAAGACCAUCCACCAUACAAGUGCUGGAGAAGGCCUGAUGCUAGGUGCAGUAAAUGCAAUCAUCUUGGGCACGAAGAUGUCAUUUGCAAGGAAAAUGGUCAACAACUAGAAGCAUAGCUCAGGUUGUUCACGGAGAGGAGGAAGAUUAAAUCAUUGUUGCUACAUGUUUUUCAAGUAGAUCAUCGAGCGAAUGUUGGAUGAUUGACAGUGGAUACACUAAUCACAUGACAAAUGACAUGGCUCUCUUCAAGGAAUUGAAGCCUACAACCAUUAUUAAAGUCGUAAUAGAUGGCGAACAUCUUCCUAUAAGAGGAAAAGGAAUCAUUGCUAUUCCAAGUCAUUCAGGUACAAUAACAAUUUCUGAUGUGCUUUAUGUACCUGACAGAGAUCAAAACUUGCUUAGUGUUGGUCAAUUGAUGAAAAAGGCUACAAAUUAUUUUUUGAAGAUAAACAUCGCUUGAUCAGGGAUGUUUCAGAUCAAGAACUGUUUUAAAGUAAAAAUGAGAAGCAAACGUUUCUCAUUAGAUCCAUUUGAGGAGGAGCAUGUCUUUUUCAGCCAAAGGAAGUGUUGCAGAAAUAUGGCACAAGAGACUCGGACAUUAUCACUAUGAAGGGUUGCUAAAGAUGAAAAAAGCAAAAAUAGUUGAGGACUUACCUGUUUUGAAAGUGAAUUCUUCAAAUUGUCUUGCUUGUCAAUAUUUUAUGGGAAACAAAGCAGACUUCGAUUUCCAAAGUCAACUUGGAAAUGCUGAACUCCUUUUAAAGCUUGCUUUGGAUUCAAACCAUCAUUAAAUUUUCUUUAGGUGUUUGGAUGCC